AGAAACGGACGGAUGGACAGAAGGAAGGAGGGAAGGCAAGAAGCUGCCAGUGCUGGUCCCACAAGUAGCAACCUGGAUCCUGAAGGCAUCUUUCCUGGAAGUUUUACUAAAAGAUGAUCCAAACACCUAACUAUACUGAUUUAAAACAGCACCACCAAUAACAACAACAAACCUAAGGCCCAGAGGCACAGUGUUUGGACCAGCCCAGGAGCCCUCACUCACAAGCACUUCUAUCGGACUUAGCUGAUCCCUCAGAAGACCCUGGACACCACAAAGGGUCAUCAGCACAAUCUUGAUGGAUGUCUAAGAAGUAAAGGUUGAUUUUUGCCUAAUGACAAUAAAGUCAUGCCUAAGUGAAA